rnacentral:rRNA from 1 species
AGAGUUUGAUCCUGGCUCAGAUUGAACGCUGGCGGCAGGCCUAACACAUGCAAGUCGAGCGGAUGAUGGGAGCUUGCUCCCGGAUUCAGCGGCGGACGGGUGAGUAAUGCCUAGGAAUCUGCCUGGUAGUGGGGGACAACGUUUCGAAAGGAACGCUAAUACCGCAUACGUCCUACGGGAGAAAGCAGGGGACCUUCGGGCCUUGCGCUAUCAGAUGAGCCUAGGUCGGAUUAGCUAGUUGGUGGGGUAAAGGCCUACCAAGGCGACGAUCCGUAACUGGUCUGAGAGGAUGAUCAGUCACACUGGAACUGAGACACGGUCCAGACUCCUACGGGAGGCAGCAGUGGGGAAUAUUGGACAAUGGGCGAAAGCCUGAUCCAGCCAUGCCGCGUGUGUGAAGAAGGUCUUCGGAUUGUAAAGCACUUUAAGUUGGGAGGAAGGGCAGUAAGUUAAUACCUUGCUGUUUUGACGUUACCAACAGAAUAAGCACCGGCUAACUUCGUGCCAGCAGCCGCGGUAAUACGAAGGGUGCAAGCGUUAAUCGGAAUUACUGGGCGUAAAGCGCGCGUAGGUGGUUUGGUAAGAUGGAUGUGAAAUCCCCGGGC